UCCGGUUUGUCACCGGCAGUCUCCUUAAAGUUCCCACCCGAAGUGCUGGCAAAUAAGGAUAAGGGUUGCGCUCGUUACGGGACUUAACCCAACAUCUCACGACACGAGCUGACGACAGCCAUGCAGCACCUGUCUCAGAGUUCCCGAAGGCACCCCCGCAUCUCUGCAGGGUUCUCUGGAUGUCAAGACCUGGUAAGGUUCUUCGCGUUGCGUCGAAUUAAACCACAUGCUCCACCGCUUGUGCGGGCCCCCGUCAAUUCAUUUGAGUUUUAAUCUUGCGACCGUACUCCCCAGGCGGUCAACUUAGCGCGUUAGCUACGCCACCAAGGACACAAGGUCCCCAACGGCUAGUUGACAUCGUUUACAGCGUGGACUAC
rnacentral:misc_RNA from 1 species